GGUCCAAUUGCGGAGAGGUCCGUGCCUGCAUACCGUGGGCGAGCAAGGGUUAAUUACCUGCAGGAGCCGCCCGUUCGACUCGGGCUUGGACCG